rnacentral:rRNA from 1 species
ACAGUAUAUAAGAGUUUGAUCAUGGCUCAGGACGAACGCUGGCGGCGUGCUUAACACAUGCAAGUCGAACGGUGAAGCCCUUCGGGGUGGAUCAGUGGCGAACGGGUGAGUAACACGUGGGCAAUCUGCCCUGCAUUCUGGGACAAGCCCUGGAAACGAGGUCUAAUACCGGAUACGACGCAUCCCCGCAUGGGGUGUGCGUGGAAAGCUCCGGCGAUGCAGGAUGAGCCCGCGGCCUAUCAGCUUGCUGGUGGGGUAAUGGCCUACCAAGGCGACGACGGGUAGCCGGCCUGAGAGGGCGACCGGCCACACUGGGACUGAGACACGGCCCAGACUCCUACGGGAGGCAGCAGUGGGGAAUAUUGCACAAUGGGCGAAAGCCUGAUGCAGCGACGCCGCGUGAGGGAUGACGGCCUUCGGGUUGUAAACCUCUUUCAGCAGGGAAGAAGCGCAAGUGACGGUACCUGCAGAAGAAGCACCGGCUAACUACGUGCCAGCAGCCGCGGUAAU